UGAGGAAUAUUGGUCAAUGGGCGAGAGCCUGAACCAGCCAAGUAGCGUGCAGGAUGACGGCCCUAUGGGUUGUAAACUGCUUUUAUGCGGGGAUAACGUGCACCACGUGUGGUGUAUUGCAGGUACCGCAUGAAUAAGGACCGGCUAAUUCCGUGCCAGCAGCCGCGGUAAUACGGAAGGUCCGGGCGUUAUCCGGAUUUAUGGGUUUAAAGGGAGCGUAGGCCGCUGUUUAAGCGUGUUGUGAAAAACCGGGGCUCAACUCCGGUCGUGCAGCGCGAACUGGUUUUCUUGAGUGCGCGCGACGCAGGCGGAAUUCGUGGUGUAGCGGUGAAAUGCUUAGAUAUCACGAGGAACCCCGAUUGCGAAGGCAGCUUGCGGGAGCGCAACUGACGCUGAAGCUCGAAGGUGCGGGUAUCGAACAGGAUUAGAUACCCUGGUAGU
rnacentral:rRNA from 1 species